rnacentral:rRNA from 1 species
GUCCUCUUGUUUAUAUAUGAGGUCUGACCUGCCCGGUGAAAUUUAUUUUAACGGCCGCAGUAUUUUGACUGUGCAAAGGUAGCAUAAUCAUUAGUCUUUUAAUAGGGGGCUGGAAUGAAGGGUUUGACGAGGUGUUAACUGUCUCAUUUAAUUUGUAUUUAAAAUUUAACUUUUCAGUUAAAAGGCUGAAAUUUUGUUGGAAGACGAGAAGACCCUAUAGAGCUUUAUAGUAAUAAUUUUAAUAAAAUUUUGUUUAUAGUUACUUAUUAUUUUUUGAACUAUUUUGUUGGGGUGACAAAAAUAUAUAGUUAACUUUUUUAUUUUAUGCCCAUUGAUAAAUGUGUAUUAGAUCCAAUCUUAUUGAUUGUUAGAUUAAGUUACC